rnacentral:misc_RNA from 1 species
GAACCUAUCUCGAACCCUUUUUUCUGAGGGAUCGAGGAACUGAGUAAUUCCGGUUCUUGUCAACUGGGUUACUUGAAAUGAGGGUGCAUCAAUCUCCCUUGGGUUCAUAUUCCUUGGCCUGAAAGCAUAUCUAUUUAGUCCCGUCAAAAGGAUUAUUGCUCUUUGCUGAAAGCGCUAUAGGGGAGCCUGAGAGGGGUCUUGCCUCGAAUACAGGAACUCUAAUCAUAA